GCUUCAAGUGUCUCAGGUAAAAUGAGCUCACCGCUGUCGAUGUUGAAGAAAACGAGGCGCACGCCAAUGCAAGGCCCUCUGGAUGAGCAAUGGAGCAGACAGAAAGUGCCUUUCAGGAGGAACCUGUUAAAAGAAUUUCAGGCAGCACUGGUCAGUGAUGAGGAUGAUGGCACCUCUGAUCCAAAUACUCCCAUCUCCUCUCACGCUCCAGUCAGUGAUACCUUCACUUCUAAGUCAAAAGUCCCAAUAAAGAAAGGUGCUCCACCGAGCAACUUUGAGCUCAUGUCUGCCAUGAUGCAGCGAGUGACCUUCCUGGAGAGAACAGUGAAGAGCCAAGCACAGGAGAUCAAGUGCAAGGACAAUAAGAUCUCAGUGUUGGAGGAGACACUGAAGCUUCAGAAAGAAUCAGAGCACGCAUGUGAUCUAAGCGGCAGAGAUGAUCUCGAAAGAAGGUGCCAACAACUGCAGAAUCAAGUGUGUGAAAUGGAGAGCUUUCUAAAUGACUAUGGCUUGAUCUGGGUGGGAGACGGGGAGAACAGUGACUCAGCUGAAAGCACAUCUGUGGUCAGGCCUUUCAAUGUGAACUUUGACCUCGUGUUGCAGAGGAUCAAGGAGCUAAACAUCCUCGCAGGUGAAGGAGAGUCUUUUGUACAAACAACAGCCAUGAGGGCACAGCUAGCUAAAAAGGAUCCUGUGCGGCUGAGGCUCUACAGCAACGGCAUCAUCAUGUUUGAUGGUCCUUUCCGCUCUUAUAUGGAGCACAGCACUCAGCAGUGCAUGCAAGAUCUGAUGGACGGUUAUUUUCCUUCAGAGCUUCAAGAAAGAUUUCCAGACGGCGUGCCUUUUGAGGUAGAUGACAGGCGAGAUGAGGAAUUUAUCUUCAGGCUACCAUGGGAGAAGUUUCCUGGUGAAGGACAGGCUGUGUGCGGAAGGAGAGAUGAAUCAUCCAGUGCACCUACCUCUCAGACGCCUGGCAAGAAGCUGACUGUGGAUCAAUUCCUGAACAGGCUUCCCAGGGUGGUGGUCAAGGCAGGUCGAGUGAUCGACAUCAGAGACUCGGUGAGGGCGACCCUGCAGGGCUCCGUUGAUGCCCAGAGCAGCGACUCAGUGAUCCUCAUAGACACACCAGCACUGCAGGCCAUGAAAAAGAGGCUGCAGUCACCCACUUCUGACCGACCAUCAUCUGCUCGGGAUGUCAUCACACUCAAGGUGAAGUCAGAGGAUGGGAACCAUGCCUACAUCCUGAAAAUGUGCCUCUCAGAAACAGUUGGUCACCUGCGGCAGUACCUGGACAAACAAAGAGGGGGUGGUCUACCUGGUUACGACAUCAUCAGUGUGUUCCCACACUGCUGCUAUGACGACGACUGCCAGACCCUCCAGUUGUGUGGACUCACAACGAAUGCUAGUCUGCUGUUGCGAAGAAGGCGAGACCCUCAUUCACCGGCUGAAGUCAAUCAAAACUAAAAAAUGUUAUGUUCAGCUCGCAUGUGAAAUCAGACUCACAACAGAUGUCACAGUAGGUGACAUGUCCAGAGUCUGCUGUGACAAAGGUCCAUCGAUAACUUCCUGCCUGAACUAUACAAACUCUGGUGUAACAGAUACAGAUGCACUAAUCCAGCUUCUUGCUCCUGGUAUCAACUACUCAUGUGUUUUUCUGGACAGAAGGGAUGAGAAUACAGCAGUUUAAAAUAAAAAAUGGAAUUUUCAAUAAAUUAAACCAAAAUGUUGAAAAACUUUAUUCCUAAAAUAUGCAAAUACAAACAAGAACAAAAGUAUGAAAAUAUAAACAUCUUUUUCCCUCUUGCAGAACAUUAGAGCUGUUAAGGCAUGCGGAGCAUGACUACACAAACAUAAAUCUUGUGCUACUCGAGUUUAAAGGUCCCAUGAAAUGAAACAUGGCUUGUGUGUCCCUGGGUGUGCUGCUCCGUAUAAUUUACUUCAAAAGUUUUUGUUGCAUAUUUUUAUAUUUAAAACAUCCCCUUUUCUUCCUGUAAAGUGUCAAGUCUUUUUUUUAAUGGCUUAUCCUGCACUAAGGGCAAACAUCAAAUUCCAUAUAGUACAAUGUGCUUUGUCAUUUGGGGUGAUCCAGCCAACCCCUCCCCCUCCCACCAUCAUCACGUCUUUUAUAUAUACGGUGCCGUAUAUUCGCUCGCUGCUCCCCCUCCAACAUCCUACCUCAUGAAACACCGCAGGAGAAAGUUACAGUCUAAAAGCCACUUCAUGGGACCUUCGCACAUAGUGGAUGCUGAGUUUGCUCAAACACAUUAGCACAUUGUUACAUGACUAUAUUAGGACCCAAAAUGCUUUUCACACCCAGUUGUCAAAUGCAAACAAAAACAUAAAUACUGAAGAUUAAUACUGCUUCUCAGUCAUAAGUUAACCACUCUGUCAAAGCCUUUAUCAGCCUGAAAUGUACAGUAUACUGUUAAGUUACUCAUUUGCAAAGAGCCAAGAGCAGUGAUUGCCAAGGCUACUGAGUUUUACUUUAUAUCAUUUGUCUACCAAGACCAAAAACAGCUUAUGAGCCUCCACGAGCUCUGUAACGUGGCCCAAUGGUAUCUGCUACAUUCAGAGUCAGGGAAUGUAUUGACUACCCUACUGGCUGAUAGACUGAGACAACGGUCAUAUUGGAAGAGUCAGCUGCAAACAGCACUUUGUGGUUGGUCUAAAAAUGAAUUAGCAUUGUGGCUGCAAACGUGGCAGAAAGGCACAUGUUGGUAUUCAUUGAGAGCAAGGCCUCAAACAUU